GAUGAACGCUGGCGGCGUGCCUAAUACAUGCAAGUCGAGCGAACAGACGAGGAGCUUGCUCCUCUGACGUUGCGGCGGACGGGGUGGUAACAAGUGGGUAAACUACCUAUAAAGCUGGGGUAACUUCGGGAAACCGGAACUAAUUCCGGAUAAUAUAUUGAACCGCCUGGGUCAAUAGUGAAAAGCGGUUUUGCUGUCACUUAUAGUUGGGUCCGCGCCGCAUUAGCUAGUUGGUAAGGUAACGGCUUACCAAGGCAACGAUGCGUAGCCGACCUGAGAGGGUGAUCGGCCACACUGGAACUGAGACACGGUCCAGACUCCUACGGGAGGCAGCAGUAGGGAAUCUUCCGCAAUGGGCGAAAGCCUGACGGAGCAACGCCGCGUGAGUGAUGAAGGUCUUCGGAUCGUAAAACUCUGUUAUUAGGGAAGAACAAAUGUGUAAGUAACUAUGCACGUCUUGACGGUACCUAAUCAGAAAGCCACGGCUAACUACGUG
rnacentral:rRNA from 1 species